GAAACAGAAUGAAACGAAACAGAGAGCAGGGGAGAAAAAGAAAGAAAGAAUGGGAGAAAAGGGAAAAUUGAAGGUUUGAAGCUUUAAGCUUUAAUAGUCAAUGUGGUACCGGAAAUCUCGGCUAAGAAAGGACAAGACAAAGUCAACGGGAGUUAGCUCGAAAAUUACGGUUAAGUAAAGAUAGUACGUUGAAUCAGCAUCUCAAGACGAUCCCGAAUUCAUUAAGGUAAAGUAUGUUGAGUAUUGAUAAUGACAUGUACCCAGGAUGUUUAAUGAGAGUCAUUUAGGUUGUAAAAGUAUUGAUGAAAUGAGUAAAUUAUGGUUGGCAACGGUAUGUAGUAUGAAUUUUGAAAUUUACUAAAAAUUCGUAGUGAUUCUAAAUUAGUCCCGAAUUGAAUUUACUAUUCAUAUUGGACCGCGAGGGCCCAUUAAAGGGACGACAUCUUAAAACUAGGAUGUGUGUGAAUAUUUAUUUUAAUUAAUGACCAAAAUUGGAUUGUACUGACUGGUAAUGUCUCGUAACCCUGUUCCGGUGACAGUAUAGGGUUAUGGGACAUUACAAAUUAGUGGUAUCAGAGCUAUUCAGGUUUAGCCGAUUCUAGAACUAAUUCGAGCUCGAAAUUGAGUCUAGAGGUACAUGCCAUAAUUGAGUCGAAGUUGAGUCGGGAUCGGAUGCUGAUAUAUUUGUUUGGUACUGUUUUAUAGUGAAAAUGUUAGAGGAAAAUAUCGAUGGUAUUGAUUAUGAAAUGUGUACUGAAGACGAAUAGUCUCGUGAAUUAAAUGAAAACUGAAUCAACAACACUGGGUAUAAACUCAAUGGGUAAUUAAUUACUAAAUAAUGACUGAUGAAAUAAUAGAAAAAGAAAUGAUAAAUAAUUAUUUAGAAUUAUAACUGAUGUUCUUCAGUGAGUAGAAAAAAUUGUAUCUGCUACAGUAUCUAUCCCUCCUGUUUCUUACUCGAUUCCCGAGGUGCUUCAAGGUAUAGAGUUUGUCUGAACGGGUAAGUUAUCUGCUGUUAACGAUCUGUACAUUUAUAUAUAUAUAUAUAUAGUGUGGAUGAAUUGAGAAUUACAGUUGAGAAUGAUCUUGAAAGAACUGAAAUCUGGUUAGAGAAUAUUAUCGGGAUUGUAAAUGAAUUGUUCUGUUCACCGAUUAAAUGUUAGAAGGGUAUGAUAUUUCUGUUAAAAGAUUUAGGUUAUCAGUGGUAGAAAAAUUGAUUAUGUUGUGAUUAAGAAAAGGGUUAUUUGGAAUUUUUCUGAGAUGAGUUCUGAAAGAAAUAUAUAUAUAUCAGUCAGAGAUUUCUUGAUCAGAAACAUACAGAAUUCUUGAAGCUUAAACAGGAUCAUAUAACUGCAACUGUGUAUGAAGGGAAUUUGUUUGAUUAAAUAAAUAUAUCAGAGGGUAUAUUCCGAUAGAAACUGUAUGAUACAAAUGGUUUGAAGAUGGUUUAAAUGAAGACAGAAGCUGAAGAAUAUAGAAUAAGGAAUGGAAUAUGUGUUAGACAUGAUUCUCCUGAUUAUUAUCUUAGUGAUUGCUUGAAGAAAAUUGAAAAAAAUAUUAUUCAGAGUUCAAGAUCGAGUAACGUAGUUAACAGAGGUAGGUUACCCUGUAAUCUCAGAAAUACGAGUGAAAGCCGAAGUGUGACAAAUGACUUCACUGUAAAAUCUGGAGAAUGAACAUCAGCCAGGGUAUAUAUUAAUUGUAUAUGAGAAGAUUUAUCUCUACCGGAUGUCAUUACAGGUACUUUAUUCUUUAUCGACACUAAUAUGAUUAUUUUAAAUUGAUCUUGGUUUGACUAUUCCUAUGAUUACAUAAGUUCAGUAUCUAUUAAAGAUUUGUCUGUUGAGUUUGCUGAAAUUUUUGGAUUGAAGCAUUAAAUUUUUCAGAUUAGUAUUUAUGGGCUGAUAAGAUCUGCAUGAACUGUUGAUAAUGAUACUACUGUUUUUUGAUCGAUUUGAUGUUCUUACUGUUUGAUAUAAUCUCAAUAAUGGAAUGGUUAAUUCUGCAUGAUAUGGUGGCAAAUUAUAAGCAGAAGUAUAAUAUGUUGCAAGAUCAGGAUGAUGAAAUGUUUUGUUGAAUCAGAGAAGAUUGAGCUAAUUGUCUAUUGUGAUAUUGAACAUGCCAACACAGAUAUAUGCCGGAAAGGGGUCAUGGUAUUUACCUUGUUUAUGUAUUGAAUAUUAAAAUAUUUAAGUUAAGGUUUAAAUCAAUGGCAAUAGUGCAAGAGAAUUCUAAUGUGUUUCCAAGAGUUGCCCGAACUACUGUUGAUUGAAGAAGUUGAAUGUGCUAUAGACUUUGUAACUGAAAUGAUAGUGAAAAAUAUAUUUGAAAUCAGAGGUUUUCUAAAACUAGUCGGUUAUUACAGAAAGAUAUAGAAUUGGAAUGAUCUGAUAGACGUUAGCAAGGUUCCGAUUAGUUGAAAGCUCAGUUAACUGAAGCACUAGUUCUGGUUCAGUCUGAAAUCCGAUAAAGAAACUUGUGAUUUACAGGAUAGCAGUGUUUUGAUGCCAAAAAAAAAAGAAGUGAAGUAAUGGUUUAUGUUACGAAAUGUUAGAAUCACAUGGGAAGAAUUAUUUGAUACCUGAUUCGGAAGUGGUAGUUAUUGUUCUUGUAUUAAAAGAUCAAGAUAUGAUAAUUAAUUAUCAUCCGAAAAAGACAAAUGAAUGUAUGUAUAUUCAAAAUGAAAGCUUUGUUUUGUGUUAUGAGCUAUGAACAUCUGACUGUUAUCAUUUGAAGAUGGAUCAAUUUUGGUAGAGAUAAAAAAAAUUAAACCGACUUCUUUACAGCAGAUCUGCGAAGCUCAGAAAUGUAGUAAUGAGUUAUCGGUUAAAUAGAUAUAGUAUACAGAUGAUUUCUGAUUAAACAUUUCUGAUUGGAUAUGAUGGUUGUUUGCUAUUUAGAAAUAAAAGCUGAACAGAGGGAUUCAGAACUUAUACAGGAGAAUUUUCAUGAAAUUAUAGUAGUACUAUGUCUAUGCAUUCUAGAAGAAUAAGAUGUACAGUGAUUUGAGACAGAUGUAUUGAAGACUGGGAAAAGAAAAGCAAUACUUUGAAUUUGCAUAUAAAUGUUUAUAUUAGGUACAGAUAUCUUCAGAACUGUUACAACCAGUGGUGAUAUCAAAAUGGAAAUGGGAUAUAAUUGCUAUGAGUUUGAAUUAGAAUUAUCUCUAUUUUUGAAAAAGAAUAUGCGGAGCUGUUUGAUUCGUGAAAUUGAAGAAAAGUACAAGUAAUUCAAAACAGACUGAAAGCAACUUUUGAUAGACAGAAAUUGUAUGUAGAUUUAAAAUGUCGGGAUUUCGAGCAUUCUGCCAGUGAAGCGGUAUUUCUUAAAGUUUCACAUCGGAAUAAAACUUUGAGAUUGGGAUGAAAUAGGGAAAUAGAAUUCUCGUUCAGUUGGGCCAUGUAAAAUUUCGAAAAAAAAAAGUCAGACUGGUAAUAUAUUAUUGGGUUUUACUUCCAAAAUUACAAGAAAUUUAUAGGGAUUAUCAGGAUUUGGUGCUCAAAAGAUGUAAAUCAGAUCUUUUACAUGUUAUAUCGACAAAGGAUAUUGAGAUUUGACGCAAUCUAUUGUAUGAGAAAGAGCCGGUUGAGAUACUAGCCUGAGCGGUAAUGUCAUAAUAUUGAGGAAACAAUACGGGAACCGAAAGAAACAGUGAGAUCACUGAACCCCCACCUCUCUUUUAGGAAAAUUUCGAGGACGAAAUUUCUUAAGGGGGAGAGAAUUGUAAUGACCCGAAUUUUACCGUUACCGAAAAAGUGUAUUUUCGGGUCUCUGUUUCUAAAAAUUGGAUUCGUAAAUAUUUAUUAAAAAUAUUUACGAAGUAAAAUGAGUAGUUAAUUAGAGUUUAAUUAAGUGAAUUUAAAUUUAAUUAAGAGUAAUUAAGUAAAAGGACCAAAUUGAAUAAAGUGUGAAAGUUGAAUUAUAGAUUAAAAGAAAAUAAAAAGGACUAAAAGGGCAAUUAUACAAAAAGUAUAAAUUGAGGCGGUUUAUCGUGAAGAAAAUCUAAGAUUUUUUUUUAUGUUUAGUAUUUUAUUAUAUUAUUAUAUUAUUAUAUAAUAAAGAUACUUUAUGUUUUAAUUAUAUUAUAUUAUAUUAUAUUAUAUAUAUAAACUAAAGAAACAAAUGAAAGGAAAUAGAAACAGAAUGAAACGAAACAGAGAGCAGGGGAGAAAAAGAAAGAAAGAAGGGGAGAAAAGGGAAAAUUGAAGGUUUGAAGCUUUAAGCUUUAAUAGUCAAUGUGGUACCGGAAAUCUCGGCUAAGAAAGGACAAGACAAAGUCAACGGGAGUUAGCUCGAAAAUUACGGUUAAGUAAAGAUAGUACGUUGAAUCAGCAUCCCAAGACGAUCCCGAAUUCAUUAAGAUAAAGUAUGUUGAG
rnacentral:lncRNA from 1 species